AACGAACGCUGGCGGCAUGCCUAACACAUGCAAGUCGAACGAUUGCCUUCGGGUGAUAGUGGCGCACGGGUGCGUAACGCGUGGGAAUCUGCCCUUAGGUUCGGAAUAACAGCUGGAAACGGCUGCUAAUACCGGAUGAUAUCGCGAGAUCAAAGAUUUAUCGCCUGAGGAUGAGCCCGCGUUGGAUUAGGUAGUUGGUGGGGUAAAGGCCUACCAAGCCGACGAUCCAUAGCUGGUCUGAGAGGAUGAUCAGCCACACUGGGACUGAGACACGGCCCAGACUCCUACGGGAGGCAGCAGUGGGGAAUAUUGGACAAUGGGCGCAAGCCUGAUCCAGCAAUGCCGCGUGAGUGAUGAAGGCCCUAGGGUUGUAAAGCUCUUUUACCCGGGAAGAUAAUGACUGUACCGGGAGAACAAGCCCCGGCUAACUCCGUG
rnacentral:rRNA from 1 species